rnacentral:lncRNA from 1 species
AUGGCCUCCCACAAAGAAGAACCUGAUAACAGGAGCAGUUCCAAGAAGGCAUCUUUGAGUCUUUGUUCCGGACAACAAGAACCUGGAAAGAAUCUCCAGAAGGAGUGCACAGUGACCCAGAACCCCAGCAAGAAACCUAUCCUAGCCCUUAUACUCAAAUGGAGAACUUGGGGUGUGCUGCAGCCGGCAAGCUGGUGCCCUGUACAAUAAGUUAAGUGAAGAGGGCAAGAACGGUUUACGAGAUCUUUGCAAAAUCCAUAAUUAAGAAGUCUAGUCGCAUGAAAAGUAAAAGCAAUAACUGC